UAGGGAAUCUUCCACAAUGGACGCAAGUCUGAUGGAGCAACGCCGCGUGAGUGAAGAAGGUUUUCGGACCGUAAAGCUCUGUUGUUGGUGAAGAAGGAUAGAGGUAGUAACUGGCCUUUAUUUGACGGUAAUCAACCAGAAAGUCACGGCUAACUACGUGCCAGCAGCCGCGGUAAUACGUAGGUGGCAAGCGUUGUCCGGAUUUAUUGGGCGUAAAGCGAGCGCAGGCGGAAGAAUAAGUCUGAUGUGAAAGCCCUCGGCUUAACCGAGGAAUUGCAUCGGAAACUGUUUUUCUUGAGUGCAGAAGAGGAGAGUAGAACUCCAUGUGUAGCGGUGGAAUGCGUAGAUAUAUGGAAGAAUACCAGUGGCGAAGGCGGCUCUCUGGUCUGCAACUGACGCUGAGGCUCGAAAGCAUGGGUAGCGAACAGGAUUAGAUACCCUUGG
rnacentral:rRNA from 1 species